CCAAAAGUUUGGUCCUAGCUUUAGUGUCAACUUUAAUUAACCUUACACAUGCAAGUCUCAGCCCUCCAGUGACAACGCCCUNUAUAAAAUAAACAGGAGCCGAUAUCAGGCACAACCUUUCUUUCUAAACGUUAGCCUAUAACAUCUAGCACAAGCCACACCCUCAACGGGCCUGCAGCAGUGAUAAACAUUGACCAAUAAGCAUCAGCUUGACUCAGCCACAAUUAAUUAGAGUUGGUAUAUCUUGUGCCAGCCACCGCGGUUAUACAAGAAACUCAAGUUGACACCUAACGGCGUAAAGUGUGAUUAAGAGAAGUUUAAUAAAACUAGGACUAAAAACCUACUAAGCUGUUAUACGCAUUAGUACCGUAACACACUCAACAUUCUCUAUUUAACGAAAGUAGCCCUAAUAUAAAAAUUAUUCAAAACUCACGACUGCUGAAACACAAACUGGGAUUAGAUACCCCACUAUGCUCAGCCACAAAACUUGAACACCUACACCAAAUACUCCGCCAGAGUAUUACGAGCAAUAGCUUAAAACUCAAAGGACUUGGCGGUGCCCUAAACCCCUCCAGAGGAGCCUGUUCUAUAAUCGAUAACCCACGCUUAACCUCACCACCAUUUGACAACCCAGCCUAUAUACCACCGUCACUAGCCUACCUUAUGAAAGAACUAUAGCAAGCAAAAUUGAAAUUGCCAAAUACGUCAGGUCAAGGUGUAGCACAUAUGGUGGAAAGAAAUGGGCUACAUUUUCUUACAAAGAUCAUACGAAUGAUAUAAUGAAAUCACACCUGAAGGCGGAUUUGGCAGUAAGAACGGAUAAUCAUGCCACUCUUAACAUUGGCCCUGGGGCGCGCACACACCGCCCGUCACCCUCAUCACCUGAUCUUAACCUAUUUUAAUUAAAACACUACCAAGAUACCCCCCAGAUGAGGUAAGUCGUAACAAGGUAAGCGCACUGGAAAGUGCUCUUGGAAUAC
rnacentral:ncRNA from 1 species